CAAGCUGGCCGGGCGGUCGCGGGCCGGGGCAUCUGCGGAUGCCGCUGGCCUGAGGAAAGUCCGCGCUCCGCAGAGCACGGUGCUGGCUAACAGCCAGGCGGGGUGACCCGACGGAAUAGUGCCACAGAGAAGCAGAGUGCCAACGCGGCUUCCCGUCAUCCGACGGGCGGUCGCACGGCGAGGGUGAAACGGUGUGGUAAGAGCACACCGGCGCUCCUGGUGACAGGAGCGGCCAGGCAAACCCCACCGGGAGCAAGGCCAAGCAGGGACGAGGUGUUGCUCGCACCGCUUGAGUCCCGGGUAGGCCGCUAGAGGCGGGCGGUAACGUCCGUCCCAGAUAGAUGACCGCCCA
rnacentral:RNase_P_RNA from 1 species